GCGAAGAUGGCGAAAUUGGUAAACGCUCUAAUUUCAGGUAUUAGUGUUUUUAAAAAAAAACUUGAGGGUUCAAUUCCCUCUCUUCGCA
rnacentral:tRNA from 1 species